rnacentral:lncRNA from 1 species
CAACUCAGUGGUUUUUAGUAUAUUCACAAAGUUGUGCUAGCAUCACCACUGUCUCAUUUUGGAGCAUUUUCAUGCCCCCACCAUGAAGACCAUGUCCACUGGCAGCCAUUCCCAUGACCUUUCCUUGUGAGUUCUCCAGUUAUCACUUUGUAAAAGCUGAUGAAUUGCUUUUCUUGAUAAUACUGUUUCUUUCAGAAUCACAGUUGCCAGAGAAACAUCAGCGGGCUUUAGCUGGGGCAGAGCUUAGCAAGUGUUGGGGUAUCAGCAGUUAGUCACUGUUUGCCUGGAACCACAGGAUGUGAAUCCUAGUUCCUGGAUUCCAAGGAAUCCUGCAUCCAGGUGUUUAUUGUGCUUUGCAGAGUCAACAUCAAGCUCAGGAGCUGGUUGCAGGUAGGCCUCUGAAUGUCACCAAUGUUAGAGGAGGAAUGAAUUGCUGGGGUUCUAGUGUGAGAUGAUUCCAGCCAGUCAUGGAGAACAGGCAGAUGUUCUGGCCCUUAGAACUGCCCCCUGAAUGACUCCUGGGAAUCAUGGAAACCACCAUGAG